GCACCCCCAGUCUUUCCAUCCUCCUCAUUCGUCUAGGGGCACCCGAAUCCCCUAUUCCUUAUUUCCCGUAUCAAUCAGGCACUGGCAGCGUCCUUUGCUACUCCUGUUGGCCGCCGCGGCUCCAAAGCGAGGUAAGCUGAUGUGCCUGAGACAGGUUUGACCAGGCAACUGAAAAGAUAUCCCUAAGAGAAGACAAAGCAAAGGUAUGAAAGGAACACACGUCCCUGACUGACUAGGAGGAACAGAGCUGCCUGCUGUCUGGAACCGCUUCCUCCCAGACUAAGGUUUCCCAGAGGAAGAGAGAAUUUGUACAAAUGAAUGAGGAACAAUGCUCUCCUGAGGGUUUUCUUUAAGGGGCAAGGAUCACUGCCGCUAGCUCCUUUGAAAGCAGAGUUAAGAGGCAGUGCAGGAAGGCACAGCAGGAAGGCUCAUGGUUAGACUACAGAGAAGGAAGCAGACACUGCUGGGGACCUACCCUGUGCUGGUCACUGACAAGCUGUCUCAUUAAACCUUCCCAGACCCUCAACCCCUCCUAGUAUCUUAUCCUCAUUUUACAGAUGAGAAGACUGCGGCCCAGAGAGGUCCAAUGCCAGUGGGAUCAGCUUCGAUGGGAUGCACACAGACUGACCUCUUCUCCCCAGCCCCUUCAACUUCCCAGAGCUGCAGGGGGCCUGGGAGUUCUUGGUAACAGCACAUUAAACCUCUGUUUGUGGGAA
rnacentral:antisense_RNA from 1 species